CAUGAAUAAAGUUAAGAUGAAUUUAAUAAUAGUGGAAUGAUCACCACAUAUCGUAUUUGGGAGAAGGAGAGUAUCUUACCGUUUUGGUUUAGGGGAAUUGAUCAAGCCAGAGGAUGGGAGAAAGGGGAGGGCGAAAAAGGUCAGCGGUGGUGACAUGGUUGCAGAUUUGGGUUGAAAAAGAAAAGAUGAUUUAUUCAUUUAUGAAAAGUAAAAUAUGGGUGACAAAAUCAAGUGAUGAUUGAUAAUUAUGAAUGAGACACCGUCUUUGAGUCUUCAAAUUAAAGCAAAUGACAUCCAUAAUUUAGGUUUUCUUAUGUGAUGGAUUUUUUUACGUACUCAUAUUGAUUCGAAUAUAUUAAAUGUACUCAGACGAAUGCCCUAGGUGAAAAUGAGUUCAGAUAUGAUCUUGAGUCCUGACAAUUUUAUUAAAAGAAUUUAACAAUUGUACUACUUUUUUGACAUUAUUAUUGCAAAAAUAUUAUAACUUUCAGAUCAUUGCAAAUAUACGACUUCUAAAAAAAGAUUUAAAAAUUUGCAUUUUUAUGUAUAAGGCUUACGAAUUAGAAGCUAGAGGAAUGAGGUUUGAGUCGGGUUUUCUGAAAUUAGUUGUAACAAAAUCAAUCUCAUUUAUUCAUUUUCUCCUGAUCACUGUCGCAACGGAGGAACACUACGACGGCGGACGACGUCAAUGGUUGGUUCUAAUUGAUUUCAUUAUCCUCU
rnacentral:lncRNA from 1 species